rnacentral:rRNA from 1 species
GGUGCGCGAGGGGUGGUGAGUACACGGUGGAGACCGCUGGCGCUAAGUCAGAGGAAGGGGUGGUCGACGGUAGGUCAGUAUGCCCCGAAUAUCCCGGGCUACACGCGGGCUACAAUGGACUGGACAAUGGGUAACGACACCGAAAGGUGAGGUCAAUCUCUUAAACCAGUUCUUAGUCCGGAUUGAGGGCUGUAACUCGCCCUCAUGAAGAUGGAAUCCGUAGUAAUCGCAUUUCAAAACAGUGCGGUGAAUACGUCCCUGCUCCUUGCACAACCUCCUCCCAU